UUUUUGUGGAAUUUAGUCUCAUUGAAAAGGUCUUGAUUUGAAUUUGUUCCUUUUUAAGGUCUCAUAUAAUUUUCACCAAUUGUCAAUUUAUUAUGAUAAGUAUUUAGGCUGCAUU